AUAAUGUUGAGUUGGCGCGGUGUUUGGAUUCCUACCAGCGAGGGACAUGUUAGGUGGUGCCGGUGUUCAAUUGGAUGGACGGCUUGCAUGUCGGGCACACGGAGCUUGUAUUUGGUUAGUUGCAUGAGUCCUUUGUUUGGUCACCAUGGCUGGGGUGGUGAGAACACAUGUUGAGGUCGGGGAGGGGAGCGGAGAUUUUGCUAUGUCCUAGAGGCAGUGUGCAUGAUGGAUG
rnacentral:lncRNA from 1 species